CCUACGGGAGGCAGCAGUAAGGAAUAUUGGUCAAUGGACGGAAGUCUGAACCAGCCAUGCCGCGUGAAAGAUGAAGGUCCUCUGGAUUGUAAACUUCUUUUAUGUGGGAAGAAACCACCUUUAUCUAAGGGUGUUGACGGUACCAUAGGAAUAAGCACCGGCUAACUCCGUGCCAGCAGCCGCGGUAAUACGGAGGGUGCAAGCGUUAUCCGGAUUCACUGGGUUUAAAGGGUGCGUAGGCGGAUUAGUAAGUCCGUGGUGAAAUCUCCAAGCUUAACUUGGAAACUGCCGUGGAUACUAUUAGUCUUGAAUGUUGUGGAGGUUAGCGGAAUAUGUCAUGUAGCGGUGAAAUGCAUAGAUAUGACAUAGAACACCAAUUGCGAAGGCAGCUGGCUACACAAAUAUUGACGCUGAUGCACGAAAGCGUGGGGAUCAAACAGGAUUAGAUACCCUGGUAGUCCACGCCCUAAACGAUGAUUACUCGACAUUUGCGAUAUACAGUAAGUGUCUGAGCGAAAGCAUUAAGUAAUCCACCUGGGAAGUACGACCNCANGGUUGAAACUCAAAGGAAUUGACGG
rnacentral:rRNA from 1 species